CCACUACGGACAAGACAACAGUCACAACCACACCAUCAGAGGAUUUGACAACUGUACCCACUACGGACAAGACAACAGUCACAACAACACCAUCAGAGGAUUUGACAACUGUACCCACUACGGACAAGACAACAGUCACAACCACACCAUCAGAGGAUUUGACAACUGUACCCACUACGGACAAGACAACAGUCA